rnacentral:tRNA from 1 species
GCACCAGUGGCAUAGUAGUUAAAGCGUUCGGCUGCUAACCCUAAAGGCCAGUGGUUCGAAUCCACCAGCUGCU